rnacentral:tRNA from 1 species
GCGCACGUGGCGGAAUUGGUAGACGCGCUAGGUUGAGGGCCUAGUGGGAUUAAUAUCCCGUGGAGGUUCAAGUCCUCUCGUGCGCA